rnacentral:sRNA from 1 species
UGGGUGCAGAAAUGUCUGGGCUCAAAUUCCAGUUGAUCAAAAAGCAAUAGGCAUUAAGAACAACUAAUCUAGAAGAGAUCUAUAAAUCAAACUCAACCACCUAACAUACCGAGGAUUCUAAACUACUUUAACCCAUCCUCAGAAACCUAGUCACUACUCAGACAUCAUUGCUGAAA